rnacentral:misc_RNA from 1 species
UUUCCGUAGGUGAACCUGCGGAAGGAUCAUUAUUGAAUAACAGAGGUGCGAGGUUUGUCGCUGACUCGGAAGCUCGUGGACACUCGCGUGCCCUCAUACUCAUUUAUCUCACCCAUAUGUGCACCUCCGUGUGGGUACACAUUUGGUUUGUUCGGUGGUGGGUAAAAGACUUCACACUAACUUUGUAUGCAGUGUAGAAUGUAUUUUUUGUCUUCGUGAAAACGCAAUCAACACAACUUUCAACACCGGAACUCUCGGCUCACGUAUCAAUGACGAACG